rnacentral:rRNA from 1 species
AGGACGAACGCUGGCGGCGUGCUUAACACAUGCAAGUCGAGCGGAAAGGCCCUUCGGGGUACUCGAGCGGCGAACGGGUGAGUAACACGUGAGUAACCUGCCCUGGACUUUGGGAUAACCCUCGGAAACGGGGGCUAAUACCGGAUAUGACACGCUCUCGCAUGGGAUGUGUGUGGAAAGUUUUUCGGUCUGGGAUGGGCUCGCGGCCUAUCAGCUUGUUGGUGGGGUGAUGGCCUACCAAGGCGACGACGGGUA